UUGAACGCUGGCGGCAGGCCUAACACAUGCAAGUCGAGCGGUAGAGAGAAGCUUGCUUCUCUUGAGAGCGGCGGACGGGUGAGUAAUGCCUAGGAAUCUGCCUGGUAGUGGGGGAUAACGUUCGGAAACGGACGCUAAUACCGCAUACGUCCUACGGGAGAAAGCAGGGGACCUUCGGGCCUUGCGCUAUCAGAUGAGCCUAGGUCGGAUUAGCUAGUUGGUGGGGUAAUGGCUCACCAAGGCGACGAUCCGUAACUG
rnacentral:rRNA from 3 species